rnacentral:snRNA from 1 species
GGAGUUGAGACUUAUUUA